GUCAACUACCCCGCCCUGAAGGGCGGAGCUUGUUCACUACCCCGGCCCAAAGGCCGGAGUUUUGGGAGCAAGCCGGGUUGACCAGGAAAAGCGGUAUCCAACCCGCUACGUUUGCAACAGGUCGUCAAGACCCACUCCGGGAUGCUUCCUCAGUCCCGGACACUGGAAGGUGGGGAUCAUGCUGGUGAAAGGUAAAGCGCCGAAGGUUCUCAUCGCUUCCGCAAGGAAGGAGCCGGUUGCAGACAUUUCCGAGGGGAGAUGGGC
rfam:Candidatus Chloracidobacterium thermophilum B chromosome 1, complete sequence.